rnacentral:rRNA from 1 species
GAUGAACGCUGGCGGCGUGCCUAACACAUGCAAGUCGAACGAAGCACCUUACCUGAUUCUUCGGAUGAAAGUUUGGUGACUGAGUGGCGGACGGGUGAGUAACGCGUGGGUAACCUGCCCUGUACAGGGGGAUAACAGCUGGAAACGGCUGCUAAUACCGCAUAAGCGCACGAGGAGACAUCUCCUUGUGUGAAAAACUCCGGUGGUACAGGAUGGGCCCGCGUCUGAUUAGCUGGUUGGCAGGGUAACGGCCUACCAAGGCAACGAUCAGUAGCCGGACUGAGAAGAUGAACGGCCACAUUGGAACUGAGACACGAUCCAAACUCCUACGGGAGGCAGCAGUGGGGAAUAUUGCACAAUGGGGGAAACCCUGAUGAAGCAACGCCGCGUGAGUGAAGAAGUAUUUCGGUAUGUAAAGCUCUAUCAGCAGGGAAGAUAAUGACGGUACCUGACUAAGAAGCUCCGGCUAAAUACGUG